CCUGCUGGAGCAGGAGCAACCCCAGAGCCAAAAAGAUUGUUUAGAAGUUCAGCUUUCUUUCCAAUGAAGAUGUUUGGAUCCACAAAUGGAGCUACCAUCGCUGGUUUUACUGGAAGGAAUGGUUUCAAUGACAGAAGGUGCACCAGAUUCUAAGCCAGUGAAUACGGUGGAAAUGUUGAAGUCCCAAGAUUAUUUUCAGACUGAAUUAUUAGAAAUCCCGCAUACUUCAGGAUUAUGAGUUGUAUGAAUAUGUAGGAGAUUUUUUAAAAUCAACCUUAAAUGAAGUUUCUUCGAACGCAGAAGACCCAGCAGAUGGUUCACAACGUCGAGGAUGAAAGGCGGAAGAAAGAUGUCAUUACUUAGUGGCAGAGAGAAGCAGUGUGAAUGUUUUGUUUAUCACUUUCUAGAAGAUAACGGGAGACAUAAUUUAUAGUACAGUAAAACUGCUUUAUAUUUAUCAUUCAUUGUUAAACCUCUUUGGCAUGACGUAAAACAAAUUUUGAAGUUGUUAUGCUUGUGAAGAUGUUGAUCAUGGUCCUUUGGGUUGUGGUACCACGCAGUUACCAACAUUCCUCCAAAAUGUUUGUUGACAUCCUGCAGUAUCACACUAAGUUACAACCCAGAAUAUCAUGAUUGAGAACUAAAAGGAACUUUGCAAUUGGUCUUUUGUACAGUUUCUGUAAACACUUUAGCUUUUUAUGUGUUGGAUAUGUUAUAUGUUAGUUACCUGUUGUUGAAUUACUAUAUACAUUCUGCAGUCAACUGUGCAAUGUUUUUAAUUUAUUUUUUAUAUUUUGCUAGGUAUGUGUGAUAUAAAUCAUAUUGUAUCUGGCAAUAAAAAUUGCAGUAUCUGAUAUAAAUACUGUUUUUGCUGUGUGCUGAAUAAAAAUUCUAUCUUGCUA